AAAAAUUGGAGCAGGGAUAUCCGGCAUGAAACCCGGAGGCAUACCCCAAGGGAACCCGGCUGGUAUUGCGUGAGAAGCAAAAUGAGCAUUGGCGGCUGGCACAGACGGAGCUAUAAUCUCAGAGACGACAGUCCUCUGAAUAGGAGUGGCAGGCGGUUGAGCAGGCUGAUUCUGAGCAGCGAGGAGUUGCUCCAUCAAAGCGCCAAGUCUGG
rnacentral:lncRNA from 1 species